ensembl:lncRNA
UUUACAUUUUUCUUGGGAAAUGUUUAUCAAUGUACACUGUCCCUUUUCAAAUAAACGCAUAAACAUAAACAAACAUGUUCAAAUGACUAGCUGCCCCUUUCAUGUGUCUGCAGAUGUGGCCAAGAGGGAGAUGGGAGGGAGAACGUUCUUGACCCUCUCACUGAUAGUUACCGUGUGCUACAUCAGAUGAUGCAAAAGCAGGCUCAAAUCAAGGGGUUUGUUGAGACCGCUCAGGCUGCAGACGAGGACAGGAGGCUGCUUCUGGAACACUUGGCUGAGGUGGAGAACGAGAGAGCAUCAAUCGUCCAGAUGCGCAAGCAAGUUGAAGCCUACGGAAAGGUACCGGCCCAGGUCACUGAGGUUCACCCUGAGGUGCGGGACCCUGAGGACCACAACGUUACCAUGGAGAUGGUCUUUGACAACAAUAGCAAUUCUAACCAGAGUACUGACCAGAGUGCUGACCAGAGUACUGACUAUGCGUUGGAGUUCCACAGACUUCACGACCUGAUUAUGACCAAGUGUCGGGAGAUGGAAGACACUUUCCUGAAGCCCAGACGACUUCAGUGUGUGGAGCCUGAGACAACACAGCAUUUUGACUCUGACACUAACGCUAAUGUAACAGAGUUACAUUCUGCAUACUGGAAGAGAAAGUAAAGUGGCUAAAAGAACUUCAGCGUCCUGUAAUAAUUGCACCUGAACACAACGCAGUAGCCGGCGAAGUACAGACCACGCCGGCUACACUAACACUAAUGUCAGCUCUAAGGAUGGUUCUGACCCCAUCAAGGAGAAGGUCCUGUUGGGCACGACGGUUCAGCAGCACCAACCCUGCCAGGCCAUGCCCUCAGUUGAUGAGGUAAUACACACCCUAAUCCACCCAGAUUACGUGUGGCAUCAAUGCAUUUCAGACUGCAAUGUACACCGGUAACCUGAUGACGUCAGUGCAUUGAUUUCCAGGUACCUGACCAGGUCACUGAGCUUCACCCUGAGCCUCCAGAGGACCUCUGUGCAAAAGAUCCUACUACACAGCCCAUUUGGAGAACACCUCAGCCCGAACGGCACAACUAUGUCAACAAGCUGAAAUCCUUAAAUGACAUCUCAAAAGUUAAGGACUACGUCACCAACGAGGUUUUUAAGCUCUGUGGCCUAAAGCAAGACAUAAACGCUGAGGCUUAUGGGAAGGUUUCUGCCCACAACUUCAAAAGCUUCAACCUGAGGACAUUCGAUCGCAUCUUGUUGAAAGAAAUGUCCGUGGAGGAACACCAGUGGCAGGACCACGACAAAGAGGUCUAUGACAAAUAUGCCACCGCUGUUUUUGACCACUUGAUGGACGACACCUUUAAGUGUUUGCUCGCCCUUUCAGGAAAGAGAACCAAGAACACUUAAAAAGUUUAGGUCCUAAACCCUUUCCCUCCCCCACCCCACUAUUGCCUACAUUAAAGUUUCAUCGCA